ensembl:lncRNA
UGAGGGAGAGAUGGAGGAGAGAUGAGGGAGAGAUGGAGGAGACAUGAGGGAGAGAUGGAGGAGAGAUGAGUGAGAGAUGGAGGAGAGAUGUGUGGGAGAUGUGGGAAGAGAUGGAGGAGACAUGAGGGACAGAUGGAGGAGAGAUGAUGGAGAGAUGGAGGAGAGAUGAGGGAGAGAUGGAGGAGAGAUGGAGGAGAGAUGGGGGAGAUGGAGAGAUGAAGGUGAGAUGAGGGAGAGAUGGAGAGAUGGAGGUGAGAUGAGGGAGAGAUGGAGAGAUGGAGGUGAGAUGAGGGAGAGAUGGAG